ensembl:snoRNA small nucleolar RNA SNORD113/SNORD114 family
UGGUCUAAUGGUGAUGACUAGUGUAUGAGUCAUACACGAUGAAUUCUACGUGUCCAGAAGUCUGAGGAUCAA